rnacentral:misc_RNA from 1 species
CCUCCUUUCUAAGGAUGAAUGAAAGUAAAAUUUCAUUCUAAAUAAUAUACAUCGGUAAUGUUGACCGUCCUCAUUUCUCUUCUUAAAGUAAUGUUUCCUUCUUGUAGGGCCGGUAGCUCAGUUGGUUAGAGCACACCCUUGAUAAGGGUGGGGUCGAAAGUUCGAGUCUUUCUCGGCCCACCAUAUUUAACUGGGGGAUUAGCUCAGCUGGGAGAGCGCCUGAUUUGCAUUCAGGAGGUCAGCGGUUCGAUCCCGCUAUCCUCCACCAGGAAACAUUUAGCUAUAAAAAUUGUAAAUAAAAAUAAUUUAUAUCAAUAUCUAUAUCCGAACAUUAAAAGUUAUUAUUUAAUGUUCAAAAUAAAAAUUUGAUCACAACAUAGAUAAAUUUUCUGUUAAAAGAAUUUUUUUCUGUGCAUAAAUCAAGCGUUUAAGGGCGUGUAGUGGAUGCCUUGGCACUGAAAGCCGAUGAAGGACGUGAUAUACUGCGAUAAGUUUCGGGGAGCUGUAUGUAAGCUUUGAUCCGAAAAUUCCGAAUGG